rnacentral:rRNA from 1 species
UACGAAGGGGGCUAGCGUUGCUCGGAAUUACUGGGCGUAAAGCGCACGUAGGCGGCUUUCUAAGUCGGGGGUGAAAUCCUGGAGCUCAACUCCAGAACUGCCUUCGAUACUGGAGAGCUUGAGUCCGGGAGAGGUGAGUGGAACUGCGAGUGUAGAGGUGAAAUUCGUAGAUAUUCGGAAGAACACCAACGGCGAAGGCAGCUCGCUAGGACGGUACUGACGCUGAGACGCGAAAGCGUGGGGAGCGAACAGG